rnacentral:lncRNA from 1 species
UGUUUUUCUGAUUAUUUUUAUUUUUUAAUCAACUGUGGAGUUUUUAAACAUUGCAAUGGAAAUUUCACCUGUGAAAAGCUACAAGGCUUUUACUAUUGUGUUAUGUGUACACACUUGUGCUAUGUGUUGUAUGUCUGUAUGUGCGUAUGUCCAUAUAUCAGGAGCACUCAUGAAAAAAAUUGGAUCCAAAUAUCUUUUAUUCACAUGAUUUAAAUGUUUAAUUUAAAUUGGGUAUUGUUUUAAUAUGUGAACAAAAAAGGAGGUUAACAGAUCUGUUUGUUUACUUUCACCUUUCCUUUUCAUUAUAUCUAAUAAUUCUGUUCAGAAUAUUGUACUAAAUUGUUCAGAAAAUUGUUUUCUUAGUGCUUGCUGGAAUGCUGCACAAUUUUCUUUAGCCAUUAUUGCUAGAAUUCCUACCUUAAGACAAAAAUAGAAGAAUUACCAGUAUUACUGAAAAACUAAAUGAGACUUCGGAAUUACAGCUAACAUCAUCACAGUUGUUGCUGUUUCUGCUGCUGCCACUACAGCUUCUGCAAUAGCUAUCACACAAACUGUAUAAACUGAUGCAUCAAUGAAUAAUGUAACUCAACAAGUAAUGCUCAAAGAGUUGAUUUGCUGUGAGAAGAAAUAGACAUAUUAAUGGACUUCUCUGCUUUGAGCAGAGAACAACAAAAUAAAAAUAAAAUACAUACCCCAAAGUAAAUAAAGUAUAUACCCCAAAGUAAUGCCCCAAUGUCCUACCUCUCCAGUCACACCCUAUCAGUCUUCAGCUAUCACUCAGUUAAUUCCUAUCAGGGAAUUAACUCACUUAUUGAAUUAAUUCUCUUAGGACCCAAUCAUUUCUUCUCUGAACAUAUUGCAUUGUCUCCCAUGUGAGCUUUUGGGGGACACCCCACAUUGUGAACAUAACAUUCCACACCUGGCCCCCAAAAGCUCACAACCAUCUCACAAUGCAAAGUCCAUUUUGUCCAUUCCCAAGAGUCUCCAUGGUCUCAACAGUUCCAAGACUGCUCUGAGUUCAAGUCCAAAGUCUUCUCUGAGGCUCAAUGCAAUCUUUCAUUAUGAGCUUCUAUAAAAUUAAAAGCAAUUUACAAUUACCCAAUAUAUAAUGGUUACAAAGUAAACAUUUUCAUUUACAAAAUUAGGGGCAUAGAAAGAAGGGAAAGGAUAAGAGCAAGACCAAAAUCCAGCUGGUCAAACAGGUCCUGUAGUUCUGUGUCCACAUCUGAAACACAUGGCAUCAUGAUGUUCUUCCCAAAGGUCUUGUGUAUCCCUACCCCUGUGGCCUUGUUGCUUGUAGCCCAAGUGGUUGUUUUGGGCUUGUCUCUGCUCAAUUCCUGCAGCUUUCCAAGAAUGAUGUCUAUGUUACUGGCAUUUCUUAAUGAGGAGGGUUUAUCUCAACUGCAGCUUCAGUUUCCUCCUCAUAACUGCAGACUUUGACUUCUCAGGUGCCCACAGGGACUCCAAUCCUGUUGCCCUUUGUCUGGUAUCCCAGGCCUUCCUUUGAAAUCAUGGAAGAACCCUCCAUAAAUCCCUAACUCAAGCAUCCUGCAUUCAUGCAGAGCAAGAACCUCAUGAUUGGUCCCAAGGACUGCCAGUAUGUUGAGCAAUAACCAAGCCUCCAGGGAUGCUGGCUUCAACAGCCUCUGAGUGUUUGUGUAGUGGAGCCUGUGGAAAACACUCUGUAGGCCCCCUUGCAUAAGAAGGUUUACCCUCUGUUUUCUUGUUAAGAAAACUCUCACCUUUACUCCCAGGAGCUUGGAGUGUAGACUUGCUAGAUUUUGAGAAGCCCUUAAGCCACCUUUCUUAUUGUCUCUGUUCAAAGUCUUUAGCAUUUUUGUAGUGGUGAUAAUGGCUUUAACAACUGAAACUUCCUUAGCUUUAGUUUUAUGACCUUUCAAGUUAACUAUUUCCAAAUAUUUCUUCUCUGCUUUCUGCUCCUAAAUAACCCAAUAAAUUUUGCUAAAACAUGUCAGCAAUAUCUAUGUCAUGGCCUAUAUGCUAUGCUGCCUAAACAUUUCUUCCACCACAUAAGGAAGUCACUUCUGGGGCUAGGGUUGUGGCUCAGUGUCAGAGCACUCACCUAGCAUGUGUGAGGCACUGGAUUCAAUCCUCAGCACCACAUCAAUAAUAAAUAACUAAAAAUAAAGUUAUUGUGUUCAUCUACAACUAAGAAAAUGUCCACUGCUUCUAAAAUCAGCCCCACUGAAAGUCUCAGGACCUGGGCAAAAUGCAGAUACUUCUCAGCCAGAACAUAACAAGAAUGGUCUCAACUCCAAAUUCCCAUAAAGUCCUCCAUUUCUAAACCCUCUUGAGCCUGGUCUUCACUGACUGGUGUCCUGUUGCCAUUCUGGUCUUCUGAGCUCCCACCAGAAUCAGCCAUUAAUCUCUGCUUACAAAAAUAUAAAGCAUUUCCAUCUGCACAGCUACACAUCGCAAAAUUCCUCCCACCAAUUCCAAAAAGCUCAAAAUGCUUAUUAAACAUGAGUGAAACCCCAGAAGGCUUUCCUGAUAAGAGGAAACAGCAAAAUCAUCAAUGUGGAGACCAACAGACCAGAUGUUUCUGACCACAGGGUAAAUAAUGUCACUGAGAAAUCUGGUGGUAGCUGGUAAGGAUUGAAAAGGUGGUUAAAACCCCCAAAUUUUGUAUGAAUAAUAGAGCAAAUGAACAGGAAUUCAGCCAGCUGAAACAAGGAUGCACUCAAGCUGGAGAGCCUUAUGAGGACCUGACAUCCCAUCACUUGUCACAUCCCCUGAGCCUCUGCGUAAUCGUCACCACUCUCAAACUCUACCACCUAAUCUGGACCUUGGUGAGAGCCACAACUUCUCCCUAUGACCCUCUCCGCAAUUGGUCAUCCACUCCAUGCCAGGAAAAGCCUGCCUUGCUUCCAGACCUGAUCACCGGGUCUGAGUGAGAGUGCAUCUGCUGGACUUAAAGCCUAAGACUUGCAGAGAAAAUUUCUGUCAUUAGACUAUCAUGAUUAAGUGUGUUUUGCAGUGCUUAGAAUUAAUCUAGAAGUUUUGCUGUGAAUUAAUUAAUCUAAAAUUGUUUGCUGUGAAUUGAUUAUGUCUAUUGCAAUGCCUAGCAUUAAGGAUUGUCAUUUUCUUGAUUAAAAACCUAUAAAAUGAAACUGCAUGGAGUAAUUUGAGUGAAUAAAUC